UUUUGUGUCAUCUUUUUUUGAGACAGGGUUUCACUAUGCAGUUCAUGCUGCCUUAAACUCACUGUGUAGUCCUGGCUGGCCUUGAACUUGUGGCGAUCCUCCUGCCUCAGCCUCACUAGGAUUACAGGUGUGAGCCACCAUGCCUGGCUUAUGUUUCCCUUUUUUUUUUUGACUUUUUGAGACAGGGUCUCGCUCCGCAGUUCAGGCUGGCCUUGAGCUCACUUUGUAGGCCAGGCUGGUCUCGAACUUGCAGGGAUCCUCCUGCCUCAGCCUCAUGAGUGCUGGAAUUACAGGUGUGCACCAACACGCCCAGCCUUAUGUUUCACUUUUAACCCUGGAUUAUAUUGGUAAUGCUGUGAAAUGAGGAAUAAAUUGAAACAGUUCACAGAAAGCCUUCUGGAGGUGGAUGACUUAUUUCUUGAUUGCUCUGUGAAUGUCGGUGUAAACCCAGAGCAUUUGAAGGUGAUAGGACUUAUUGUGGAUGUACCGCACGUGGACAACAUUACACCUUCAGGCCCUACGGAGAGAAACUACCCAAAGCCAUGCGUCCUUUGCCGUACUCUACCCAGUUCUCAAGAGGGCAACGCUCAGAGGGACAGGACCACUCCUGCCGUUUAUGUGGAAAUCAGAAAAUCGAAGACACAAGGAGCAAUUUUCGGAGAUUAA
rnacentral:lncRNA from 1 species